rnacentral:rRNA from 1 species
AUUGAACGCUGGCGGCAGGCCUAACACAUGCAAGUCGAGCGAGCGGCGGACGGGUGAGUAAUGCCUAGGAAUCUGCCUGGUAGUGGGGGAUAACUACUGGAAACGGUAGCUAAUACCGCAUAACAUCAGAUGUGCCCAGAUGGGAUUAGCUUGUUGGUGGGGUAACGGCGCACCAAGGCGACGAUCCCUAGCUGGUCUGAGAGGAUGACCAGACACACGGGAACUGAGACACGGUCCAGACUCCUACGGGAGGCAGCAGGGGGGAAUAUUGCAAAAUGGGCGAAAGCCUGAUGCAGCCAUGCCGCGUGUAUGAAGAAGGCCUUCGGGUGGUAAAGUACUUUCAGCGGGGAGGCGUUACCCGCAGAAGAAGCACCGGCUAACUCCGUGCCAGCAGACGCGGUAAUUC